rnacentral:rRNA from 1 species
UACGAAGGGGGCUAGCGUUGCUCGGAAUCACUGGGCGUAAAGCGCACGUAGGCGGACUCUUAAGUCAGGGGUGAAAUCCUGGAGCUCAACUCCAGAACUGCCUUUGAUACUGGGAGUCUUGAGUUCGGGAGAGGUGAGUGGAACUGCGAGUGUAGAGGUGAAAUUCGUAGAUAUUCGCAAGAACCCCAGUGGCGAAGGCGGCUCACUGGCCCGAUACUGACGCUGAGGUGCGAAAGCGUGGGGAGCAAACAGG